CAGUCGCCGCGGUAAUACGGAGGGUGCAAGCGUUAAUCGGAAUUACUGGGCGUAAAGCGCACGCAGGCGGUUUGUUAAGUCAGAUGUGAAAUCCCCGAGCUUAACUUGGGAACUGCAUUUGAAACUGGCAAGCUAGAGUCUUGUAGAGGGGGGUAGAAUUCCAGGUGUAGCGGUGAAAUGCGUAGAGAUCUGGAGGAAUACCGGCGGCGAAGGCGGCCCCCUGGACGAAGACUGACGCUCAGGUACGAAAGCGUGGGGAGCAAACAGGAUUAGAUACCCCGGUAGUCCCUGUCUCUUAUAC
rnacentral:rRNA from 1 species